CUAGAGCAUUAAGCUCAGACUCGAUUAUCCAUUGAGCUCGUUGAUCGGCUCAAUCGAGUACAUCACCCUAAUUUUUACAUUUUAGAAUGCUUGUUUCCCUAUGUCCCUUCCGAUACCCGUGGAACUUGGCCCGUCCGUGACCUCUGGGCCUUGCGUUAGACAACCCUCAACAAAGGAUCAUAACUACAAAAUUCUCAAAAGAGAGGUUGGAAGUGAUUGAACUCUUUGGCACAAAUUGGAAAUGGAAUACAGAUUCUGAAUGGGGCCACAUUCCUCCUCAUGAGCGCUCUACGCUUCCAUCUUCUUACUACUCCGUUGCCCAUUUCUGCUUCCAAGUCUUCAUUGCCGUUCCUCAAUUCUCCGCAUCUGAAAUCAACUUCAUCCUAGAGGAUCUUGGAUGUCUUAAUUUUCACUAGCCUCGAGACUCGAUCACUCAGAAACGCAAUCUUUUCCAUGGCCGAGUCGGAUUUCAGCUAUCUGAACCCAGCAGUUGCUGAAAUUAUUGUAAUAAGGCACGGUGAAACAGCUUGGAAUGCCGAUGGAAGAAUCCAGGUAUGGCAAUUCUCUCACUGGAGGCAUAAUGCUAUCGAUCAAUUUCAGAGGCAUUCUUCCAUUCUGCUGGCUGUUGGGGCUACAUGGGGACAUCUGGACGUUGAAUUAAAUGAAGCUGGGCGACAGCAAGCAGUUGCAGUUGCAAAUCGGCUGGCCAAGGAGCCUCCAAUCUCUGCUGUAUACUCUUCUGACUUAAAAAGAGCUCUUGAAACUGCACAGAUAAUUGCAACUACAUGUGGUAAUCUGGAGGUUACUAAAGAUCCUGACUUGAGGGAAAGAAAUUUAGGAGAUCUUCAAGGUCUUGUGUAUCGCGAGGCAGUCAUAACAAACCCUGAAGCUUCUGAGGCUUUGAGAUCUCACAGGUCAGACCAGACAAUUCCGAGUCGCAUCCCACCCAUGUCCCAGCUGUGUCGGAAAUUAAAAAAAAAUAAUAAAAUAUUCUGUCGUGUCGGACAUGUGUCGGCGGCGUGUUGGUGUCGGACAUGUCACUUGGCCAUUUAGGAGUGUUCGGUGCUUUAUAGGUGGCAAGGAACAGAAUGAAAAAGCAAGCCGAUAUGAAUAAAAGGGAGCUAUACUUCGAGGUAGGAGAUGAAGUGUUUUUGAAACUCCACCCCUGUAGACAAUGUUAUUUAGCAAGGAAACAUUGUGAAAAGCUGGCUCCAAAAUUCUAUGGCCCUUACCAAGUGCUGGAACGAAUUAGUGAGGUGGCAUAUAAACUAGAGUUACCUCCAAAGGCAAACAUCCAUAAUGUGUUCCAUAUUUCUCAGUUGAAGAAAAAGUUGGGUGAGCAAAUCAGGGUGCAACAACACCCGCCAGCAUUAACCGAGGAAUUUGAAUUACAGGUAGUCCCAUAAUUCAUCAUGGGGAUUCGUUGGAACAGGGAAUUGGCUGCAAACGAAUGACUAGUAAAAUGGAAAGACUUACCAAAGAGUGAAGCAUCAUGGGAGUUGGUUUACUUGAUGAAAGAACAGUUCCCUUAUCUCCACCUUGAGGACAAGGUGCAUUUCGAGGCGGGUGGUAUUGUUAAACCUCCAAUCAUACACACUUAUAAGAGGAGGGGUAGAAGAGGAAUUACACCUAGGAUUGUGGGAGGAGGUAGUAACCGUGAGGAAAAUGGAAUCCAAAAGGGAGACCACAAGACUGGGCUAUAAACAAAAUGGAGGGAGGCUGGAAGGGUAGGAAUCAUUUUGGGAGAAGCUUCCUUGGCUUGAAGGAGAGAAUUCUAGCCCUCUCGAAUCGGCUAGAUCGUUAUGUUUCUUAUCCUUUCUAUUAUCUUUAUUAUUCCUCUUUUGUGUUCUUGUUUCCUUUUCUAGUGUAAGUUCCUUGAACAUUCUCUGUAAAUAAUUCACUCUGAGACCAAGGAUAUUGCUCUGUUUUUCUGGGUAUUCUUUGUGGUUGUUGUGUUGUUGGGUUUUCUAAGUGCAGGAGGGGAAAGAUACCUAACAGAUUGCCGCUCCUCAGAGUGGACAUGAUAGUCUUAAGAGGAAGCUAGAUGCCUCGGGAAAGUUUACAAGUAAAACUAUUUUUCUGAAUAUUGCUAAGAGAGCCUCCCUUCUCACUUUUCCUCUGGUGCAUAUCAUCUGGAAACUUAAAAUUCCAAAAAAGGUGAAGUUUUUCCUAUGGUCCCUUGCUUAUUGAAGUCUUAAUACUCAUGACAAGUUUCAAAGGAAGCUUCAACAUUUUUCUCUUGGUCCUUCUGUCCCUUUGCCUUAAAAACGAGGAGUCCCUUGACCAUUUGUUUCUGCAUUGUGACUUUGCCAAGAAGGGUUGGAAUCUCUUGUUUAGAACUUUUGGCUCGGAAUAUUGCCUCCGAAGCAAGAUCGAUGAUUGGUUGAUUGAUAGGCUAGAUAGUAAAGCUUUUGGUCCUAGAGGGAACAUCCUUUGGAGGGUGGUGGAGAAAGUCUUGAUCAACUUUAUCAGCGUUGCACAUCUUCAUUGCAAAAGAUUGGAAAUAAACAUAGAGGGCAACGAGUAGUUGUGGUCACUCAUGGCGGUACAAUCCGAGCGCUGUGUAAGCGAGCUCAUCCUC